rnacentral:lncRNA from 1 species
AAUAGGAAGAGCUCCAGUCUAGAGCUCCCAGCAUGAGCGACGCAGAAGACAGGUGAUUUCUGCAUUUCCAACUGAGGUGCAAUUCAUCACAGUCCACAAAGCACAGUUCCUAACAGAUUCUGAAAACGUGAUUUUAAAAAAAAUGAGAUUUAUCCGUAAACGAGGGCUAGGCUACAGUUGGUAGGGCGGCUGUCAAUUCUUCUACGGAGUUUUAACCUACACUCAAUGGAUGCAUGAAAAAAAGAAAUGAAAUGAUUUUUUUAGCUACUUUAAAAAAUAAAGGUAUUUCUUCAUAACAACGCAAAUGAACUAAGACAACAAGUCUCUGUGUUCUCCUUCAUCUAUCAUACUACCCGAGGUUUGUUUACGUGGUAAAGACAAGGUUCGGAGAGAAAUGGUUGAAACCAGCAUAGCUUCUUGAGACACAAUGACACUUAUGCCACAUGCUAUUGGCCAGAGCAAGUCACAGAACAUCUGGAUUCAAGAGGAGGGAAAUGGAUUCCACACCUUGAUGGAGGAGAUGCAAAGUCAUAUCACUUGGGACAUGGAUACAGGGAGGGGUGCAAUUUGGGAUGUUUUUGCAAUUAACCUACCACAGGCUUAAGGAGGCUUUUAGGAUUUACCUUCUGCUCUAAUGAGUUUCAACCACCAUGGCUUAGAGAACAUUUCUUAAAACUCAGUCAUCUUUCAUGUAUCCAUUGUUCUCCAAAGGGACUAAGUUUUGUUCCAUGGUCAGUCUUUUCCAUGUG